rnacentral:misc_RNA from 1 species
GCAAACUUGGUCAUUUAGAGGAAGUAAAAGUCGUAACAAGGUUUCCGUAGGUGAACCUGCGGAAGGAUCAUUACCAAUUAUCCUCAAAUUAUGGAUAAUUUAAUCCAUAUCCACCUUGUGUGCAUCAUAGAACUGUUUGUUGGCAGAGUUGUCUUGCUCGGCCUGCCAAUUUUCUUUGUUUAAACUUGUCUAAAUACUACUCGUCUGAAACACAUAUAUUUAUAUAAUAAAUACAACUUUCAACAACGGAUCUCUUGGCUCUCGCAUCGAUGAAGAACGCAGC